GUGCUCACUUUGAGAGCACAUACAGUAAGACCGGACUGACAGAGAAGAUUAGCAUGUUCCCUGUGAGAGGAUGACAGGCAAAUUCGUGACGUGUUCCAUAUUAAA